AUUAAAGUUGCUGCAGUUAAAAAGCUCGUAGUUGGAUUUCGGAUUAAUGGGAGUUAAGGUCCAUCAAUUUGAUGUGUACCUUAUUCUCGUUUCCUUCCUUUUGAAUACACUCCCUGAAAUUUUUUUUGGGGAUCAAAGUGUUUCAAAUCUUUUACUGUGAAGAAAUUAGAGUGUUCAAAGCAGGCGUAAUCUAGCCUUUGAAUAUAUUAGCAUGGGAUAAUGAAAUAGGACUUUAGUUCUACUUUCGUUGGUUUCUAGGGCUAAAGUAAUGAUUAAUAGGGAUAGUUGGGGUCACUAGUAUUUAAUUGUCAGAGGUGAAAUUCUAAGAUUUAUAAAGACUAACUACUGCGAAAGCAUUUGACAAGGGUGUUUUCAUUAAUCAAGAACGAAAGUUGGGGGAUCGAAGAUGAUCGGAUACCGUCGUAGUCUCAACCAUAAACUAUGCCGACCAAGGAUCCGGGGGUGUUAAAUAUGGAUGACUCUCCGGGCACUUAUAGAGAAAUCAUAAGUAUUUGGGCUCCGGGGGGAGUAUGGUCGCAAGGCUGAAACUUAAAGGAAUUGACGGAAGGGCACCACAAGGAGUGGAACCUGCGGUUUAAUUUGACCCAACACGGGGAAACUUACCAGGUCCAGACACAGUGAGGAUUGACAGAUUGAGAGUUCUUUCUUGAUUCUGUGAGUGGUGGUGCAUGGCCGUUUCUAGUUGGUGGAGUGAUUUGUCUGGUUAAUUCCGUUAACGAACGAGACCUUAACCUAUUAAAUAGUUGCUUGAACACAUGAAUAUUUUAUUCUUUGUUCGGUUAACUUCUUAGAGGGACUCUUCACUGAGAGAGUGAAUGGAAGUUUGAGGCAAAAACAGGUCUGUGAUGCCCUUAGAUGUUCUGGGCCACACGCGCGUUACACUGACAUAUUCAACGAGCAUUUUCCUGGCCCGAUGGGGUUGGGUAAUCUUUUAAAUGUAUGUCGUGCUGGGGAUAGAUCAUUGUAAUUAUUGGUCUUGAACGAGGAAUUCCUAGUAAGUGCAAGUCAUCAACUUGCGCUGAUUACGUCCCUGCCCUUUGUACACACCGCCCGUCGCUCCUACCGAUUGAAUGGUCCGGCGAGAACUCAAGAUGGAAAUAGGUUUUGGACACCGUCA
rnacentral:rRNA from 1 species